rnacentral:ncRNA from 2 species
CCUUCGCCGCUUGUUUCAGGUGCUCUGUGGCUUGGGUCGACAGAGUGAAACAGGGAAGCCGGUGAGUGAGCGCUUCAGUCGAUGAAGCCCUGCGAUCCCGGCGCUGCCCCCGCAACGGUAAAUGAGUGAACACUGCGCUUGAAGCCACUGCGUCGAUCCAUCGAUGCGGGAAGGCGCGCAGCGAGGCUUCACGCCGCUCAUGAGCCCGGAGACCGGCCUGAUCCAUCCAAGCGGC